rnacentral:rRNA from 1 species
GACGAACGCUGGCGGCGUGCUUAACACAUGCAAGUCGAACGGACUGAAAGAAAAGCUUGCUUUUCUGGACGUUAGUGGCGGACGGGUGAGUAACGCGUGGGUAACCUGCCUUUAAGAGGGGGAUAACACUCCGAAAGGAGUGCUAAUACCGCAUGAUAUUAUUCUAUCGCAUGAUAGGAUAAUCAAAGGAGUAAUCCGCUUAAAGAUGGACCCGCGUCUGAUUAGCUAGUUGGCAGGGUAACGGCCUACCAAGGCGACGAUCAGUAGCCGGCCUGAGAGGGUGAUCGGCCACACUGGGACUGAGACACGCCCAGACUCCUACGGGGGGCAGCAGUGGGGGAUCUUCCGCAAUGGGCGCAAGCCUGACGGAGCAACGCCGCGUGAGUGAAGAAGGUUUUCGGAUUGUAAAACUCUGUCUUCAGGGAAGAAACAAAUGACGGUACCUGAGGAGGAAGCCCCGGCUAACUACGUGCCAGCCGCCGCCGUAACAC